UACGGAGGGUGCAAGCAUUAAUCGGAUUUAUUGGGCGUAAAGGGCGCGUAGGCGGCCUUCUAAGUCGAACGUGAAAUCCCCGGGCUCAACCCGGGAACUGCGUCCGAUACUGGAAGGCUUGAAUCCGGGAGAGGGAUGCGGAAUUCCAGGUGUAGCGGUGAAAUGCGUAGAUAUCUGGAGGAACACCGGUGGCGAAGGCGGCAUCCUGGACCGGCAUUGACGCUGAGACGCGAAAGCGUGGGGAGCGAACAGG
rnacentral:rRNA from 1 species